CGUAGGAGGCGAGCGUUGUCCGGAUUCAUUGGGCGUAAAGAGCACGCAGGCGGUUUGGCAAGUCGGAUGUGAAAACCAGAAGCUCAACUUCUGGCCUGCAUCCGAUACUGCCCGACUAGAGGUAGGUAGGGGAGAUCGGAAUUCCUGGUGUAGAGGUGAAAUGCGCAGAUAUCAGGAGGAACACCGGUGGCGAAGGCGGAUCUCUGGGCCUUACCUGACGCUCAGGUGCGAAAGCUAGGGGAGCGAACAGGAUUAGAUACCCUGGUAGUCCUAGCCGUAAACGUUGGGUGCUAGGUGUGGGCGGUCAUCAACCCCGUCCGUGCCGAAGCUAACGCAUUAAGCACCCCGCCUGGGGAGUACGGCCGCAAGGCUA
rnacentral:rRNA from 1 species